UCCUACGGGACGCAGCAGUGGGGAAUAUUGCACAAUGGGGGAAACCCUGAUGCAGCAACGCCGCGUGAGUGAAGAAGUAUUUCGGUAUGUAAAGCUCUAUCAGCAGGGAAGAGAAUGACGGUACCCGACUAAGAAGCCCCGGCUAACUACGUGCCAGCAGCCGCGGUAAUACGUAGGGAGCGAGCGUUGUCCGGAAUUACUGGGUGUAAAGGGAGCGUAGGCGGGGAUGCAAGUUGGGGGUCAAAACUACCGGCUCAACUGGUAGUCGCACUCAAAACUGCAGCUCUUGAGUGAAGUAGAGGCAG
rnacentral:rRNA from 1 species